AGAGUUUGAUCCUGGCUCAGGAUGAACGCUGGCGGCGUGCCUAACACAUGCAAGUCGAACGUGAUCCUACUUCGGUAGGUGAAAGUGGCGAACGGGUGAGUAACACGUUGGUGACCUGCCCCGAAGUGGGGGAUAACUCCUCGAAAGAGGUGCUAAUACCCCGGAUGUCUGAGUGUUUAGAAAGCUCAGACUAAAGUUCCAACGCUUCGGGAGGGGCCUGCGGGCUAUCAGCUUGUUGGUGAGGUAAUGGCUUACCAAGGCUAAGACGGCUAGGGGGCGUGAGAGCGUGACCCCCCACAAUGGAACUGACACACGGUCCAUACUCCUACGGGAGGCAGCAGUGAGGAAUAUUGGUCAAUGGGCGCAAGCCUGAACCAGCAACGCCGCGUGAAUGAUGAAGGCCUUCGGGUUGUAAAAUUCUUUUCUGGGGGAAGAUAAUGACGGUACCUCAGGAAUAAGUCCCGGCUAACUACGUGCCAGCAGCCGCGGUAAAACGUAGGGGACGAGCGUUAUCCGGAUUUAUUGGGCGUAAAGCGCACGUAGGCGGCACGGUAAGUUGGGCGUGAAAGCUCCCGGCUUAACUGGGAGAGGUCGUUCAAAACUACCGUGCUUGAGGUUGGAAGAGGAGAGCGGAAUUCCCGGUGUAGUGGUGGAAUGCGUAGAUAUCGGGAGGAACACCAGUGGCGAAAGCGGCUCUCUGGUCCACACCUGACGCUGAGGUGCGAAAGCGUGGGGAGCAAACGGGAUUAGAUACCCCGGUAGUCCACGCUGUAAACGAUGGAUACUAGGUGUAGGCGGUCAUUUACCCCGUCUGUGCCGAAGCUAACGCGUUAAGUAUCCCGCCUGGGGAGUACGGCCGCAAGGUUAAAACUCAAAGGAAUUGACGG
rnacentral:rRNA from 1 species